GAUGAACGCUGGCGGCGUGCCUAAUACAUGCAAGUCGAGCGAACGGACGAGAAGCUUGCUUCGCUGAUGUUAGCGGAGGACGGGUGAGUAACACGUGGAUAACCUACCUAUAAGACUGGGAUAACUUCGGGAAACCGGAGCUAAUACCGGAUAAUAUUUUGAACCGCAUGGUUCAAAAGUGAAAGACGGUCUUGCUGUCACUUAUAGAUGGAUCCGCGCUGCAUUAGCUAGUUGGUAAGGUAACGGCUUACCAAGGCAACGAUGCAUAGCCGACGUGAGAGGGUGAUCGGCCACACUGGAACGUCGACACGGACCAGACUCCUACGGGAGGCAGCAGUAGGGAAUCUUCCGCAAUGGGCGAAAGCCUGACGCAGCAACGCCGCGUGAGUGAUGAAGGUCUUCGGAUCGUAAAACUCUGUUAUUAGGUAAGAACAUAUGUGUAAGUAACUGUGGACAUCGUGACGGUACCUAAUCAGAAAGCCACGGCUAACUACGUG
rnacentral:rRNA from 1 species